rnacentral:rRNA from 1 species
CUUGGUCAUUUAGAGGAAGUAAAAGUCGUAACAAGGUUUCCGUAGGUGAACCUGCGGAAGGAUCAUUAAUGAUUGAACGUCUGUCGAGCUUGCUCACAGGCACAUCAUAUCCAUAACACCUGUGCACUUGUCGGAUGGCUUAGUGAAGACCGCAAGGUUGGAACUAUCCGUCUACUUUACAUAACAAUUCUGUAACAAAUGUAGUCUUAUUAUAACAUAAUAAAACUUUCAACAACGGAUCUCUUGGCUCUCGCAUCGAUGAAGAACGCAGCGAAAUGCGAUAAGUAAUGUGAAUUGCAGAAUUCAGUGAAUCAUCGAAUCUUUGAACGCACCUUGCGCUCCUUGGUAUUCCGAGGAGCAUGCCUGUUUGAGUGUCAUGAAAACCCUCAACCUUAGAUUGGUUAAAACCUUUCUUUGGCUUGGAUUUGGACGUUUGCCGAUGAUAAGUCGGCUCGUCUUAAAAGUAAUAGCUGGAUCUGUCUCGCGACAUGGUUUGACUUGGCGUAAUAAGUAUUUCGCUAAGGGCGUCUUCGGAUGGCCGCGUUGCAAGACUAAAGACCGCUUUCUAAUCCAUUGAUCUUCGGAUUAAUAUUCUUGACAUCUGGCCUCAAAUCAGGUAGGACUACCCGCUGAACUUAAGCAUAUCAAUAAGCGGAGGA